UGUCUUCAGGGCGGGGUGAAAUUCCCCACUGGCGGUAUAGUCCGCGACCCGCAGAGCCUUGGUUCUGCGGCUGACCCGGUGAAACUCCGGGACCAACGGUUACAGUCCGGAUGGAAGAGGAUG
rnacentral:ncRNA from 1 species